GAUGAACGCUGGCGGCGUGCUUAACACAUGCAAGUCGAGCGAGAAGUUUUGAAAAGAUUCUUCGGAUGAAAUUUAAAAUGGAAAGCGGCGGACGGGUGAGUAACGCGUAGGCAACCUGCCCCAUACAAAGGGAUAGCAUUUGGAAACGAAUAUUAAUACCUUAUGAAACUUAACUAGUGCAUGCUAGGUAGGUCAAAGAUUUAUCGGUAUGGGAUGGGCCUGCGUCUGAUUAGCUAGUUGGUGAGGUAACGGCUCACCAAGGCGACGAUCAGUAGCCGACCUGAGAGGGUGAACGGCCACAUUGGAACUGAGACACGGUCCAAACUCCUACGGGAGGCAGCAGUGGGGAAUAUUGCAAAAUGGGGGAAACCCUGAUGCAGCAACGCCGCGUGAACGAUGAAGGCCUUUGGGUCGUAAAGUUCUGUUCUAGGUGAUGAAAACUGACAGUAACCUAGGAGAAAGCCCCGGCUAACUCCGUG
rnacentral:rRNA from 1 species